GUUUUUGUGGUGUAUGUGCAUUAAAAAUUUUCGUUUUUUAGGAAUAAAAUUAAGAUUAUCAGAAAUA
rnacentral:tRNA from 1 species